GGUAAGCCUGAAUAUUCCUGUCUGACCGAUAGCGAACGAGUACCGUGAGGGAAAGGUGAAAAGUACCCCGGGAGGGGAGUGAAACAGUCUCUGAAACCGUGCGCCUACAAUCCGUCGGAGCCCUUUUGUGGGGUGACGGCGUGCCUAUCGAAAAAUGAGUCUGCGAGUCAGUGGCAUGUGGCGAGCAUAACCCGUGUGGGGUAUGCGUAGCGAAGGCGAGUCUUAAAAGGCGUUUGAGUCGCGUGUCCUG
rnacentral:rRNA from 1 species